UCCUUUUCACAUGUUCUUCAUCAUCAUCUUCAUCAUUAAACCAAUAUCUUUGCUUCUCCUUCUCUCUAAUUCAAUUUCUCCACUCUUCAGCACUCUCUCUCUCUCUCUCUCUCUCUCUCUCUCUCUCUCUCUCUCUCUCUUUUCUACUUUGAUUAAGUGAUUUUUUGGGGUGAUUUGAUUGUAUUGACACCUUCAGCAGCAAUAGCAAGCUUUUUGAUACGAUUAAGGUGAACUUUAUUCUCAAUCUUUAACUGUAAUUUUACACCUUCAAUUUCGAAUACUAUUAAUUUCGAAUAGAUUGAGUUGAAUUAAGGGUAAUCCAAUCUUCGUUGGUAAAGCUUAAUUUUAGUCCCUGAAUAAAGAAACCUUUGGUUUCAUCAAUGGCACUGUCUUUUAUAGAUUAUUUUUGCCCAAAGUGUCGUCUCUCAAAAUAAACUUCACCACUAUGUUGUUAAAACCUUUUGUCUUCCUCCUCUCUCUCUCUGCUCUGCAUCAUCAAAGUAAGUUACUGAUUUUGUCUCUGCGAAGCCUCUUUCCAGACCCAAAACUGAAAAAAAAAUUGUUUUGUCUUAAAAUUUCAAUAUAAAUUAAACUAUUUUUUCAUGUCAGCGAUUCAAUUAUUUGAUCAAUAACAAAUAGAUUUUUCUUUAAUUGGCUAUAUUUUACUGUCUUAAACAAAUAAUUAUUUUGUCAAUCAGGUGAAGAGGUUUCAUGUUUCCAUGGAUUAAUUUUAAGUUUGUGGCAAUUUGUUCGGUUCAGUUUGUGCACGAGGUUUUGACAGGUAGAUUAAAUAUCUUGGUUUUUAUGUAAUUUCAUUCAAUGUGAAUCAUUUCAUCCCUAUCACCAAAUUAUUGUUGGCAGAAUUAUUAUUUCAGAUCAUCGUUUUAGAGAAAAUCGACCCAAACUCAAAAAAGUCGAAACACAGUGUUGUCCAAAUAAGUCGUGAGCCUAUUUUUUUUUCUUACACAAUCUAUUUCUAAUAUUCCUCCUUUUUGUUUAUUUUUAUUGUUAUGCUAAAUUGUAAUGCACUUUCAAUAUUGUGUGAUCUUUACUAAGUUCAAUCAAUCUCCUAUCUACUCGAUCAUGGUGUUAUAAUCCUUAAUCUAAUCACUAUUUUCCAUCAACCUGUAUGAUCAAAGAAUUUGAUAUUUAUAUGCAAUUAUCUAUUUCAAAGGACAUCUAUAAUGUGAGUAUUUAAUAUCAACACAGGUGAUAUUGAUAAUGGAGGCCUAUAUGUCCCGGUCACACUAUUUUAAUUCUCACAAACUCCGUUUCACACUUUACCUCUCUCUAUCUCACACGGUUUUUGAAGUUCUAAAAGUUUGUUAAUUUGCUUAUGCAGUUUUUGAUUUUGGAACAUAACUAAUUUAACACUAUUAACCACAGAUGACUGACCUUAAUACACUACUUCAUCAGAUAACUGUUGAGGAGGGUGAUGACUUAUGGACAUAGAGAUUAGUCGUGAACAGGUCAGUUUUCAGUCAAAUCUAUGUAUGGCAAAUUGUGCAAACUAAACACAGGCCCAUCUACUCAACUACAACACUUCCCAACUAAAAUUGUUUGAGACAGACCUUCCCCCCUCAAUAUCAAGAUACUUUUUUGUACAUUAAACUCAUUAAAAUGGGUAAAGCGCUGCCACCAGUCUGUUACAUGUGUGGGAUGUCAAAUGAAUCCACUACUCACUUUUCUGCAUUGUACAAAAAAUUUGUAGAUUUGGACGAUUUUAUUUCUCCCCAGACAUUUACUCAAAGAUUUUUUGUAUAGAGACAGUUCAGUUGGUAGCGUGGCCGGAGAAGCAAGGACCAGAAAUUACUUAGUGGAUUUUGAAUCUACUACCUGCGGCGGUUCUUUGGGUUAUAUGGAAAAAUACAGAAAUGAUCCUUUCUAGACCUUCACCAAAUUGUAUAAGCUGUCUAGACUUUGUAAUCCUUUUUACAAAUUAACAAGAUUUUUCCUUAUAAAGAAAAAAAAAAUACCAUUAACCAAGUUCCUUUAUCUUAAGUUAUCUCUAUACAGCUACAUCCGUUUGAUCACAAAGAGGUGGAUGAUCAACUGUUUUUAUCUUCGAUCAAUUCUCAUCUACAAUACUGGUAUGAAGUCAUAACAUUUUUUACCUUGAUAUAUUGUCCCUAUUUUGCUCACUGGAUAUCAAGAUACAUCCUAUAUCAGGUUAUAUUAAUUAGUGUGCUUUGAUUGGUAUCCUUACUACAAUAACAUAUUAGUUAAUAAUUAUUGGAAUUGAGUAGUGAAGAGAAUUUAGACCCUAGUAUUGGAGUUAAAUUUUGUCUAAAUACUGUAGAUGUUUUCGAGUACAUAGGCAUCACAUUAACAUGUUGCAAGUUAGGACAACUCUUUAGGUAAAAGUCCGCAAUCCAUUUUAUGGUAGUUUGUUUUCAUUGCGUUUCAGGAAGUAUCAGUUUUAUUCAUUGUUGUAUGGGAGUUUUAUUCAUUAUGUUUGCCUUCGGGUUAGUUUUAUUUCAGAGACCUGGAGAAUAUAAAUAUUGUGGUGCAAGUAAAGACUGUAAUUUAGAACUAGCUGAACAUAGGCCAGUUUGCAAUUAAGUUGAUACAAAGUAUAAGGGUUGCAUGUCUCCUCACUGGGUGGCACAAACUUAUGGAAGCAAGAUGAUAGGUGUACGACAACAGCAGGAAGCAACAACAGUAAAUUAAAGGUUUGAGCCUUCCAGGUAAUUACAGUAGCAGCAGUAGGAGUAGCAACGCACUGGCUUGCUGAGGUUUCUUCUUUACUUUUAUUUUUGUUAAAUUUCUUAAUGUAUUUGAUUUUAAUAUUCAGCAGCUUGAGAUCUUUGAAAAAGCGUAUGGAAGAAUGGUCGGAGUUGAACAAAGGAGAUUUUUGCGGGAAAGUCUGGUCCAUUCUUCCUUAUGCCGUGGUUUGGUUCAUUUGGAAUGAUGUUAUCUUUAGGGAAAGGACUGCAAGUUUACUGACAAUGCAGUUCUGAGUUAUGUUGUGACAGAGUUAGUCUGGAGCAAAGGGGUGACAUCAGAUUCAUGGAUCUGUUGAAUGACUUGGAACUAUGCAUGCUCAAGGGUAGACUUUGCAGUUUUCUGAUUGGCUGUGGAUGAAGUUUAUGGAAUGGUGUUGCUUGUUGGUUUUGUUUUUGGCUGCAUAAUGUAAUUUGUAUGCUUUGUAAGUGUGUUGUGUGUAAGCCUUUUGGGGGAUUCGAUCCCAUGGUGCGAGACCUGACGGUGUAAUACUUCAGUUGUACAUUCAAGUUCAAUGUCACUGAGCCAUGGUUCACAGAAGGUCUCAAUAUCAUUCAAAAA
rnacentral:lncRNA from 1 species